AUUGAACGCUGGCGGCAGGCUUAACACAUGCAAGUCGAGCGGGGUGAUGGCGCUUGCACUAUCACUUAGCGGCGGACGGGUGAGUAAUGCUUAGGAAUCUGCCUAUUAGUGGGGGACAACAUCUCGAAAGGGAUGCUAAUACCGCAUACGUCCUAUGGGAGAAAGCAGGGGAUCACUUGUGACCUUGCGCUAAUAGAUGAGCCUAAGUCGGAUUAGCUAGUUGGUGGGGUAAAGGCCUACCAAGGCGACGAUCUGUAGCGGGUCUGAGAGGAUGAUCCGCCACACUGGGACUGAGACACGGCCCAGACUCCUACGGGAGGCAGCAGGGGGGAAUAUUGGACAAUGGGGGGAACCCUGAUCCAGCCAUGCCGCGUGUGUGAAGAAGGCCUUAUGGUUGUAAAGCACUUUAAGCGAGGAGGAGGCUCUUUUGGUUAAUACCCAAGAUGAGUGGACGUUACUCGCAGAAUAAGCACCGGCUAACUCUGUGCCAGCAGCCGCAGUAA
rnacentral:rRNA from 1 species